AUACGGAGGAUGCGAGCGUUAUCCGGAUUUAUUGGGUUUAAAGGGUGCGCAGGCGGCCAUUUAAGUCAGCGGUUAAAUCGUGGGGCUCAACCCCAUUCUGCCGUUGAUACUGGGUGGCUUGAUUGCGGUCGAGGUUGGCGGAAUUCGUUGUGUAGCGGUGCAAUGCAUAGAUAUGACGAAGAACACCGAUUGCGUAGGCAGCUGACCAGACCGCAAAUGACGCUCAUGCACGAAAGUGCGGGGAUCGAACAGGAUUAGAUACCCUGGUAGUCCGCACAGUAAACGAUGAAUACUUGUUUUCGGCGAUAUAAUGUCGGAGGCAAAGCGAAAGCGAUAAGUAUUCCACCUGGGGAGUACGCCGGCAACGGUGAAACUCAAGGGAAUUGACGGGG
rnacentral:rRNA from 1 species